GGAGCGGUAGCUCAGUGGUAGAGUAUGGGAUUGCAGUCAAAAGCACCGCAAUAUCAUCCUAUGGUCCCGUGUUCGAACCACGGUCGCUCCU